CACCGGCCUUACGCCCUGUGUUGCCGGGUUAGGGCUCCGGUUCCCCGUGUCCCGUAUGACUAUGGGGCGAGUGUUUUGGACGGACGUACGGACGCUUUAGAAAGUGAGUCGAGGUCUAGGGACAAAAGUAUAAAAAAGGUAAUGUUAAACAACAGAACACCGUGAUUGGAGGAUAUGUGAUAUUUCAGUCGCCUCCGUUCGCUCUCCUUUUGUCAAAGAGGAACUUGGGCAUUUCACUUUUUUUGCUUCAGAAAGUCGCGUCUCUAAUAACUGCUACCCUGGACAGCUCCCCUCGGACCCGAGUCUCAGUCUGGACUUCCACGUGGACGGACGGUGAGAGGACGCGGCGUCGCCUUCCUGUUCUAGUGAGAAAGCAGAGGCCAAAAUUUCGAGUCCCACCUAUUUAAGGUGUUUUUUGCUUUACGUGAUUUGUUUAAAACCGUAGUGCACUAAAACACCCACGAGGUCUGCGCGCGAGCCUGCAAAGCGAAACCCCGCCCACUAAGCGCGAGGAGAAGCGGGACUCGCUUAAAGUGACAGUGCAGCAAAUGAGUGGAAACGUUCGGCUCUUGCUGUCCAAAAUGUGUCCCUUUGGUGGUGGGGUACGGGCCCGUGUUCACGCUACGCUCAGUGUUUUCUGCGAAAAUGACGAGACGUGUUUCUUGCCGCUUUCUUUUCGGCUCGCGCUACUCCUGCAGUCAGUUCGCUGUGCUACACGCAGUGUUUAGUCACAUUCACGUGAAAGUUAUGUUAAUUCAUAUUUUGUAAAAACAUGAAAUAUUCUCAGUGCCAGAGCAGUGUUCGAGGCUCCCGGUGAGCUCCGGGUUCAGGCCCUGCUCUGUGUGUGUGAGGUCAGCAGCUCGGGGUCAUUAUAAGCUCUGUGUGACCGUGCUGGUCUGGCCUUGUGGGCUGGAUUAGGUGUUUUUCUUGCAUAUUUUCUGCAUCGCUGAUGCUUGUAUCCAUAAGAACGAAAACAUUGUAUUCCUUGGUGCUGCUGGACAUUUUAAAGGGGAAGUUCAGGCUUAGUACCUGACUCAGAGUUUACGCGUAUCCAGGGGAAGUACUUCGCUCAAGGGUACUGCGGCAGUAGGUGACACUGGAACCAGCACCCUUGAGGUCCAAAGGCGGUAGAUGCCACCGGUACUGCUACAGCAGGGCUCCUUCUCCUGGAACUGGGGUGUUGAUCGUUGUGCUCCUUGUGUGAACGUGUUCCUUCUCUGGGUGCCUCUGUAGCUGUGCGAUGGGAACAGUGACUUGUACUGUCACACCUGCAGCCAGUACUUCAGCUCCCUGCACAACAAGAAGGAGCACCUGCUGGGCCGCCAGCACCUGCAGACAUUGAUGGGUGAGGCCUCAGCAAAGGACCGCCUGGGAUGAAGCGCGUUUGGCGGGAACACAGGUUCGAGGUCCACUUGCCACAGCAGCUUAGCGCUUUUGAGGCUUCCUGGUGUCCGAGUGACGGCUGGUGACAGGGGGCCCUUGUGCCCUGGGGGGGGGGGUACUUGUGUAUUGCUGGAAAGGGCCUUUUAAACGAGUUUUGAACCAUACACACACACACACACACAUAGAGUGCGGUAUGUGGACUUGCUUCACACAACGUAAACACAGUUGAACAGUCCACUGGCAACGAACGGAGUGUGACCGCUGCUGCAGGAUGUUGGGCACAGAAAUGUGGGAGUCGGUCUGCAGCAUCGUCGCCAUGGCAACAUGGCUCAGCGUGAUUGCUGUCUGCGCUUCUUUUGCCCUCUGCUGCCCAGAGGAGUUUAAGAAGGAGAAGGACGAGCGGCUCAAGGAGGCCGAGUUGCAGGAGGAACCGGGUCGAAUGGACGCUGACGACGCGGGGGGGGGAGCGGAGCCGGCAUCGCUCAGGGGGUUCUUCACACUGGACCUGUGAGUCCUGGAAGAGCUGCUCCUGUGCCACAUGAACUUAAAGGAGCUGGAGCUACAAGAGCUGAAGGCAACUUUAGAACAAGCAAGGAGGCAGCAGGAACACCUGAAGAAGGAGCUCCGGGAGCUGGAGCGGCCCAAGAGCAGCCCGGAACACAAGCUGCGGGCCCUUCAGUGGGGUGGAGGCUCCCUGCAGUCACAGAUCCACGAGCUGAAGGUGCUCCACCGGCAGGUCGUCCGAGAACCUGGAGGGCAACACAGCCAUGAGAGCUGAACCAAGUGGCGCUGUCCUGCAGACGCAGUGUGUGUCCACUGACAGCCUCGUGGACUGAGGAGUGACCGACUUGGAAGCACGAGAAGGGAUGAGGACGAGCAGUGCUCUUGAGAAGAAACGUCCUCAUGUGCCCCUCCGUGCCACACACUGGAACCAAGCUGAACUCAGGCAGUGCCGCUCGAGGGUGGUGUUCUGGAAGGUUCUCUGGACGUAAAGAGCUGGUGGCAUACCGCACUCUACAGCAGUGCAUGGAGAUAUUUCCGGUGUUCAGUGAUGAAGGAUUUCGGUCCCCUUCUGGUGUCCAGUUGUGACCUUGCCGGUACGUCCCUGUUGCCGCGCUGGUUUCUCUAGAAGUGGCCUGCAUGCCGGAACAGCAUCAGUGGUCCCGUGUCCAGUGCAGUGCCGUGCACUGCAGUCCUGUCCUGUUACACCCUACAGUGUUGCAGUGCAGCUGGAGAAGCCCUUGAGUGUAACAAUCAUAAGUUGACACAGAGUACUGAGUGUGAGAUUUACAGCACAGGAAAUGCACUUCAUGUUCCAAGCCCCCCCACCCCUCCGAGGCCUGGCAGGUCCCUGGUUCGUGAAGCACUGACGCAAGGAGCCGGAAGUCUAGGUUCAGCAUCGGGUGGGUCAAGCACUCGGGCUACAGGAAGGACACCCUGAGCUGUCUAUCAGUGUCACCAUAGGAACAGCAGGACAGCUGCAUCCAAGCCACGCCUACAGGAGGGCUCAAGUGGCAGUGACCACACGCUCAACCACCACAGAGCCACCAGUGGACCCUUAAUCAUGUGAAGAAUCGCUGUUGGUACCACACUGGUGUAAAUUACUAUUUAUCAUGGGGUAACAUGGGCGCUGGAAGACAUGUGAGAGCUGUUCUGAGGGAAGCAUCCGUGUGAAACAUACGGAAAUAAUCAUAACUUUGUCAGCAUUUUGUCAGAAUCUCAGUUCAAACAAAGUGAACAUUUCAGGAGAUGUCAGUAUCUUGUAUUUAGCACGAUCUCAUCAGUGUCGAAGGUUACCUGGGAGAGCAGUGAGCACGGAGAGGCCACGAGGCUGGGAACUCCUGAAAGGAAUUCUGGGAAACGACGCAGGCCUGGUGCUGGCGCUAGGGCAGCGCAACUGGACAGGUCUUCAGAGCGACAUGUCGUUUGAAAAGCUCAACGUCCUCUUUGCUUCUCAAGGAAAACGUGUUUCUAGAGGAAAAUUGGCAGCAAUGGCUGGUGUUGAUGCAGUAAAGAAACAUUUCCCAGGAAUCUCUGCUGGAUUUACUUUGAUGAAAUCAUUAGAUGAAGAAACCUUUAAAGGUUUGCAUCCCUCCAUCUGGGUAUAUUUAGUGCUCCAUCUGGUCCUUCAGAUAGAAGCUCUCGCUCCAUGUGACGCUGCUGGGAGCGAGAAAACCUUCAAAGGUUCAAAUGCAAAAUUACGGUUAUGGAAGCUUAAAGUCAUAAGAAAUAUUGUACAAAAUUUCAUUUGCAUAAUACUCAAAAUUUAAUAAAGGUGACCUCUUACUGGAUAUAGGAAUUAAAUAUAAUGCAGAAUUAUAUAGCUUACAUUUGUCAUGACUGAGGCAGGAGAGAAAUCAUUUUUGACCAGUGAUAUGCAAAUUGUAUCUUAUGGAUAAUAUAAUUUUAAUGUAUUAAACUGGGCAGGGGGUGCG